GUGGAGAUUUCAUUGUCGCUGCAUUACUAAGCAGUGUUAUGCAGCCCAUAUUCUCCACACAGAGUGUCGCUGGUUCCUGCCGACAGGGCCUGCCAAGAUAUUGGGCUCCCUGUGCGAUGGUUCCAUACAAA